rnacentral:rRNA from 1 species
AUGCCGUCGGCCAUCCGCAAGCGCCCGGCGGCGGGACAAGAACCGCGCGUCCAUGGCGGCAAGAAGCCCCGAUACGCGUUCGGUAGCAUCUCCGACUACGAGAAGCUUGAGGUGCUUGGAGAAGGCACCUACGGCGAGGUGUUCAAGGCGCGCGACCGCUGCACCGGCAAGAAGGUCGCCGUGAAGUGGGUCCGCGGCAACGGGGCCGGCGGACACGGCCCGCCCGACAUCCGCGCGAUCACCCGCGAGGCCGGCUGCCUCGGCGCGUGUCGUGGUCACGAGUCGAUUAUCGAGAUCUUGGAUGUGGUGACGGACGCCGAGACAGGGGACGUGUCCCUCUUCAUGGAGCUCGUCGCCGACGGCCGCACCCUCCGCGAGUCACUCUGGAGGCCUGUAUCCGAGGAGGUGACCCGCGUGAUGAUGGAGCAGCUCCUGGACGCGCCGGCCGGGGUACCGUACGAGGAGUGCUGUGUCGGCACCCUGAUUUACACCUCACCGGAGCAGCUGGAAGGCAACCGGUACUACGGCCAGGCCGUGAAUAUGUGGGCGCUUGGGUGCAUCAUGGCGGAGAUGUUGGCCGGCGGGACCCUGUUCGUGGCGGACACAGAGGAGGAGCUGCUCGCCGAGAUAUACAAGCUGCGAGAUCAGAUCAGUUCUACGGGGAAGCUCGACUUGGAGUUCUUGGAGGAGCUUUCGGAAGCCGGGCGUGAGGUCCUCACCGGCCUGCUUGCCUUCAACCCCGACAAGAGGAUCACAGCGGCGGAAGCGCUCGAGCACCGGUGGUUCAGCAAGCCCAAAGGAGCAGAACACCCUGGCUUUGUGUCGCUGAUGAGUUAA